UUUCCUUACAUUCAGGCCUUUAAACUAAAAAAAAGUACUUACUAUAUUUAAUAUUUAUUAUUUGUCUUCUAAUUCCAAUAUCUGAAGCCUUUUGCAUCAAACUUUGCUGUCUAUUGUUUCAACUACUUCUCAUUCUACUACUUGUUUCCUCAUACAUUUUGUGAGUUUCAACUACAAGUUCAUAUCUGUUAGAGUUUUAUCUUGUUCAAAAUUUUCAAGCCCUAUAUUGGCAAUUUAUGCCUCCAGUGACUAUUUGCUUCUGCCAAACAUUGGGAAAACUCAUCAAUGCAGAAACACUUUAAAUUAAAAUUUUUUUUUUGCCUGAAGUUUUUUGGAUAUACCCAGGUAAUGUGAGAUUGGGAUACAAGUUCAGGGAGGGUCAGUUUGUGGAUAUCAAUUUCAAAGGGUGAUUUUAUGUUUCCUUCUACCCAAUGCCACAUUUUAUAAUAAGCAAUUUCCCUUGCUGUCCCCUGGAUUUAUUUUUAGUUCACAUACACCUUGAGGGUUUAGGACUUUUGGGUGCCUGAUUUAUUAAAGCUUCUCCUAUUAGAUUCCCCAUCUUGGUCAGGUGCCUCCAGGAUUUAUUUCCUGUUGGCUGUGAAUACAGAAGCUCAAGUUCACCUUCAUGGGUAAAUGUUCUCAAAGUGAAAGCCAGAUUCAAGGCUCAGCUUACCUCUCUGGAUCCCUAUGGCUUUUGAGGAUACUUUCUUUCUUGCCAAUACAUUGAUGUAUUUAAAAAUAUUUUUUACUAUUUUAAUUAUUUUUCAGUAAGAGUGUUGGCCACAGUGUAUAGUGUGUCAUAUUAUUGGAAAAUGGAUUUUUUUGUCAUUGAAAAUAAUUUAUUCCUAUAAUAAAUUUAAGGUCAGCAUGAAAAGGAUGAAGAGGUCCUUCAUGAAUGAUAAGACAGUAUAAAUAUAAGAUCAUGGACUAUAUUACUCAUUUAUAUACUGUUAUACCUUUUUACUGUACACUCUGUUAUGUGAGGUGUUGUGUUACAUUAUCAGAGAUGUCAAUAAGUAUACUGAAAGCUUCUCAAAUUUGAAAGGUAAUUUGUAAUUUAUAGAUAUAAGUGAUACAUUCAAUGAGGGUGGUACAAACUAAAUAUUCAUACCCAAUUGAGGAAUUAAAGCAAAUUGUAAAGAAGGUUCUAUUUUAUCUCAAUCUAUAGGGUAGACAGAGAGAGAUGAGUAGAAGUUUAUUCCAGGUAGAAAACAAAGAGCAUAAACAAUGGUGUAAAGGUAAAAACAAAACAAAAAAACACCUAAAAAACAAGGAAUGGCUUUAGAUACUGUAUGUUUGAUGGAUUAUAAGCUAUUUUAAGGAAAUAGUUAAUGAUAAGAAUGGAAAGUCAGGCAAAGGCUUGAGUAUGAAGAACCAUAAGUUCUAGACUGAGCAAUUUGAACUUAAAUUAGUAGGGGGACUGAGAGUUACUAAUAUAUUAUAAACUUUUAGUUUGAUACAGUUUAAAAUGGGUCAUUUAUGGGAGGCUGAAUAUAGAAUCAAUAUUUAUUCACUUAAACUCUAGCAAUUAUAGACAGGGGUAAAUGAAAAUGGGAGGAAGCUUGGGAAUGUGAAACAAGUAAAACACUAUUUUACUCAGCGUUUUUGAUAUGAGUAAUCUCCAUUCUGAUGAUGGCUUGAUGUUGUUUACAUAAUUACUUUCUUCCAUUACUUAGAAAAUUAUUUAUUUAUUUUCUGAAUAAGUUUGAAACCACAUCUUGGUGUUUCCUUUCAUGCGUAAGAAUGAAUCCUGAGUCAUAAUUCGAAGGACACAUUAUUUAGGAACUAAUUUCUCCCCUUAUUUUAAAGAGAAAGAACUAGACUGGUUUUUGCUCACAUUGAUUUGAUCAUUUUAUCUAUUUUUCAGUGGAAUAGUGCAUCUCUAUACAUUUCUUAGGCCACCUCAUUUUGUUAAUGAGACAAAGGAUAAUUAAAUGUCAAUAAGGAUUUGUGGUAUCAAAAUUCAAGGUCCACUUUAUAAAUGCUAAGGAUCAGAAAGUUAUCCAAGGGACACUAUAGGCAUAUUAUGAUGCAAUUUUUAUUUCUGAACUGAGAUGAAAAAUGGGAAUGUGUGUCUUUCUUUACUCUAAUACCAAAACCUCAUUAGGCUUGGCCAGCAUGUGGGGAAAUGACACAGCUGAGGCUUUCUCAGGCAAAAUACAUUAACAUUACAAAUGAAAUUUGGUCUGAAUUUAUCUCAAGGAGCAUUUCUCUCAAAGGUAUAGUAGGAAUUACAUUAGCAGUGCAGUUAUUAAGCUUUGUUGAAUAAAUCUGUUUUAGAAAAGGAAAGUGACCUUUUGUAUCUCUCAAGGGGUAAUAGCAUUACAUAUGUAUUUAAAAUAAUACUAAUUGGGACAGGACGUCAGAUUUACAAAAAUAUGGGAGGAAAUUGGAUAUUCAGUUAGAAAGUAUAAAGUAUCUUAAACAAAGCAUUUCAUAAUAUUAAAUAUCUGACUUUUAUUACUUCCUAAUCAAACAACUCUAUCUUCUGUUAUAGGAUGUAGAUGGAGAGUGAAGGUCAGAAAAAUACUGUUGAAAAUCCUCAUUUUUGUACUUGAAAUAUGGGCACAAUUUGUAACCUAAACUCCUCAGUAAUUACUGUAACUGUUGUUUUUCUUCAAUGAACAGACUUACAUAUUUUUCACAUUUUGACAUGAAAUCUUGUGUUCCCUAAGAAGCAAUGUCAAAAAAUAAAUACGUCCUAGUUUUUAUGCUUCUUUGUGGUCAUUUUCUAUGGGAGUGAUAACACAGUCAGAUGUGCUAGCAUUCAGAUGCUUGAAUUAACUUAAAUUUUAAUAUCUAAUGCUGGCUCAAAUAUUUUAAAAAGAGAUAACAAUGUAAUAUAGAACAUUAGUUUACACAAAGAAAGACUAUUAAAUGCCAGAUAAUGAAAUCAAAGGCGGUUGCACACUGCCAAAUCUGUUGAAGAUAUUAUGACAUUUCAAAGCUAGGAAAAUUGUAUAACAGAUUCAUGGGCUUACAGGAUUAUUACUCAAGUGCCAAGCAUCCAUCUAUCAAACGGACGACUUUCAAGAGAAGGUACCCAAGAGGUCAAGAACAGAAGCAUGGAUUAUAAAAAGCAACACGUCGUCAUGCUGCAUGACCAAAAUCAACUCAGAAGACUGAGUGGGAAAACAUUGGAAUUCAAAUUUUCAUUUUGAUGAUGUUAUAAGUUCUAUACCUUAAUUGCAUGAAUAAAAAAACAGUAUUUAUGAAAAUGAAAACAAUUUAA